CUACGGGUGGCACCAGUGGGGAAUAUUGCACAAUGGGCGAAAGCCUGAUGCAGCAACGCCGCGUGCGGGAUGAAGGCCCUAGGGUUGUAAACCGCUUUCAGCAGGGAAGAAAAUGACGGUACCUGUAGAAGAAGGUGCGGCCAACUACGUGCCAGCAGCCGCGGUGACACGUAGGCACCAAGCGUUGUCCGGAUUUAUUGGGCGUAAAGAGCUCGUAGGCGGUUCAGUAAGUCGGGUGGGAAAACUCUGGGCUCAACCCAGAGACGCCACCCGAUACUGCUGUGACUAGAGUGCGGUAGGGGAGCGGGGAAUUCCUAGUGUAGCGGUGAAAUGCGCAGAUAUUAGGAGGAACACCAGUGGCGAAGGCGCCGCUCUGGGCCGUAACUGACGCUGAGGAGCGAAAGCGUGGGUAGCAAACAGGAUUAGAUACCCUAGUAGUC
rnacentral:rRNA from 1 species